rnacentral:misc_RNA from 1 species
GAAAAUCCAUCAUGAAAUUAUUAUUUAUGAAAGUUGCUAUCUAACUUCAUCAGAAGGCUUACAAUAUGGAUUAGCUAGAAUUUUCUUUGCUUGAUUAAGAGAAACAAACUUUAUUUCCCUAACAAAAGGCUUAAACUUUUCUGUAAUCCCAAGAACACAUAACAAUACAAGUCUAUAAACAACCACCAUGCCAAAUAAUAUAGCAAGAUCAAUCCACUUGGAGUAACUCAUUUCAACUUGCCAUAUAUUCCUCAGGAUUUCUUCACCAUUUAUGUAAGGAGGCCCUCCAUGAUCACUUGGAGGAAAUGUUAGUCCUUGAAACUCAUUUUUAUACAGUCCUUGAUAUGCGUACUUAUGGAAGGCAAUGUAAUACAAUGGAUAUCUCCACAAGACUGUGGGAAGAUCAUCCGGCAACCGAAAGAAACCGCCACUUAGCAUCAUUAGCCCUUGAAUUCCUGCACCUGUUAUUAGACCCAUUAGGAAAUUUGGAACUAUGCUUGCAACGAUCAGCAUUAGGCUCUCCACCAGCAUCAUACAUGCAAAGAGUAUCAAAGCAAAGUAGAUGAAGUGUUCACUUCCUUGUUGGAGACCAACUAGACAGUAAGUGAUUGCUCCUGGUAUUAGAGAUAUGAGAAGCAAGUAAGGUGCUGAUGAGAGUGUGUUGCCAAUAACAAAUGCACCUGAUUGAUAAUGCCCAUUUAAUCUUUCCCUUUGAAACACCUUCAUGUCCUCUACAAAUGAAGGGAAGCCUCCGAUUGCCAUUAUUGUCAAUAAAGAAGCAAUGAACAUUAGCAGUGAUCCUCUUGCUUGUAUUGAACUGUAGCCAGUGCCAAUGCUGUAGAAAACAGAGCCCAAACCCAAACCUAACAUGAUAUAUAUAGCCAGACGUAGCCAGUAAUAGCCUAGAUCACGAUACAUGUUCACAAAAGACCUUCUUGACAGAACAAGGCUCUGUGUGAUGAAGUUAACCUGGCUUCCCUUAUUUAGUUCUGUUUUCUCCUGAAACAAAGAGUUUUGCAUCCAAGAUCAUUAUUUAGUAAAAAUCUAGCUUGUAAUUUCACUUACUGUUGAUGAUUCCAUCAGGGUUGCUCACCUGUCGACAUAUUUCUCUUACCCUUCUUUGGAUUUGCCUGCAAGUAGCAGAUGAUUUAUAAGAUCUUACAAGCAAGUUGAUUACUUCCUCUCUGUCUUUCUUUGCACCAAAACCUUGUUCCAUAUCCUCAUCAAAAUCUGUAUUAAUUGUUCUGAGGUAAUGAUCGGAUGGAUUUUGAUGACUGGGACAGGGUAAACCAUUCAUUUCAAAGAACUUAUUUGCUGCAGUAGAGGGUCCAAAGUAUAUAGUUCUUCCAGAAGAGAGAAGGCAAAGACUGUGGAAAAGCUGAAAGACGUCACUACCAGGUUGAUGGAUAGAUGCUAUAAUAGUCAUUCCAUGUUGUUUAGCAAGGUCGGCCAAUUUUUUCAUCACAUAAUAUGAAGCAGCACUGUCGAGUCCACUAGUGGGUUCGUCAAGGAAAAGAAGCUUAGGCCUUGUUAAAAUCUCUAUGCAAAUGCUUACUCUCCUCUUUUGCCCACCACUA